rnacentral:rRNA from 1 species
UACGUAGGGUGCGAGCGUUAAUCGGAAUUACUGGGCGUAAAGCGUGCGCAGGCGGUUUUGUAAGCCAGAUGUGAAAUCCCCGGGCUUAACCUGGGAAUGGCAUUUGGGACUGCAAGGCUCGAGUGCGGCAGAGGAGACUGGAAUUCAUGGUGUAGCAGUGAAAUGCGUAGAGAUCAUGAGGAAGACCAGUGGCGAAGGCGGGUCUCUGGACAGUUCCUGACACUGAGGCACGAAGGCCAGGGGAGCAAACGGG